rnacentral:rRNA from 1 species
GACAGAGGAGGCAAGCGUUAUCCGGAAUUAUUGGGCGUAAAGGGUACGUAGGCGGCUGGUCAAGUCUGGGGUCAAAGGCCACAGCUCAACUGUGGGAAGGCCUUGGAAACAGACUGGCUAGAGUGGGGCAGGGGUUGCGGGAAUUCCCGGUGUAGCGGUGAAAUGCGUAGAUAUCGGGAAGAACACCUGAGGCGAAAGCGCGCAACUGGGCCCUGACUGACGCUGAGGUACGAAAGCUAGGGGAGCGAAUGGG